rnacentral:rRNA from 1 species
GAACGGCAGCGCGGGGCAACCUGGCGGCGAGUGGCGAACGGGUGAGUAAUAUAUCGGAACGUACCCUGGAGUGGGGGAUAACGUAGCGAAAGUUACGCUAAUACCGCAUACGAUCUAAGGAUGAAAGUGGGGGAUCGCAAGACCUCAUGCUCCUGGAGCGGCCGAUAUCUGAUUAGCUAGUUGGUGGGGUAAAGGCCCACCAAGGCAUCGAUCAGUAGCUGGUCUGAGAGGACGACCAGCCACACUGGAACUGAGACACGGUCCAGACUCCUAC